rnacentral:rRNA from 1 species
GAAUAUUGGACAAUGGGCGAAAGCCUGAUCCAGCCAUGCCGCGUGUGUGAAGAAGGUCUUCGGAUUGUAAAGCACUUUAAGUUGGGAGGAAGGGCUGUUACCGAAUACGUGACAAUUUUGACGUUACCAACAGAAUAAGCACCGGCUAACUUCGUGCCAGCAGCCGCGGUAAUACGAAGGGUGCAAGCGUUAAUCGGAAUUACUGGGCGUAAAGCGCGCGUAGGUGGUUUGGCAAGUUGGAUGUGAAAGCCCCGGGCUCAACCUGGGAAUUGCAUCCAAAACUGCUUGGCUAGAGUACGGUAGAGGGUGGUGGAAUUUCCUGUGUAGCGGUGAAAUGCGUAGAUAUAGGAAGGAACACCAGUGGCGAAGGCGACCACCUGGACCGAUACUGACACUGAGGUGCGAAAGCGUGGGGAGCAAACAGG